GCGCCGGGGUGCACCUGGGGCUCGCAGGCUUGAACGAGAGGCUGGGUUGUGUCUCUGUUUUUUCCAGCCGCAUCAAUUUAGCCUAAUAAAGGACAUUACUUCUCUUUAUGAGCCGUACCUUCCUGCAGCGCUUUCGGGCUGCCUGCAGAAAUCGCAGCCUCUCCGUUUCGAAGGCAGAGCCGCCGAGGCAGCCCAAAGCGAUUGCUUUUUUAGAAAGGACAAAAUGGGGCGAAAUUGCCCAUUUGCAGCUUAAAAAAAAUGAGCUGCCACCGAAGCGCGCGAGCAAUCUGCCUGGCCUCCUGGUGCAGCGGGUACGGGAGGACGAGCAGGAUUGGCCCCGUUGCAGGAAUGAGGAUGAAAAUCCCCGCGGCAGAAGCUGGGGCGCUGCCUAGCAGGAUAAAUCCCCGUCGGAGAUUUCUUCUUGCGCCAAGAAGAGACCGGGGCCCUGGGGCCGGCUCCGCCAGCCCCGCCCCGGCGGAGGCCAAGCCCAUCACCCACGAAGCUUUCGGUGAUUUUAAAGUAUGGUAAAAGGCUUUGAGUCAAUCCCUUUUAAACUCACACACGCUCUGGCAGCGCGCGGGAGCCCGAGCCGCAGCAAGAACGGACCGGCCCAAGAGAAAGCAGAAGAGGAAUUGAACCUUGUUUCUGCCCCAGGAGCAAGGAAUCAAAAAAAUCAAGACACCUACUGGGAAAGGCAGAGGCUUGUUGAAGUUAAUUUGUUAAUCGCUUGAUGCAGCUCUGCCACAUCUUGCAGUUUUAUCCUGUCUUAGCAAACGCUUCCUCUAAUGCCCCAGCUCCUGUAGUCACACAGUUGCAGAAAAAUCACAGCCGCUCUCAGUUUAGGUCAGGUUUUGCUUAAUAAAAAGAAAGAAUAUUCACGGCAAAUGACAAAUACCACAUUUUUAACAAUACAGACUUUGAGCAUCAACCAACUAAUGAUUUUGACAGUGCCCCAGCAGGUACACGAGGGUCGAUCCGGCUUCCCCUCGCGACAGCGCCCUUCCCAAAAGCAGCUCCUCCGGCCACCGGUCGGGCUGGGGAACGGGGUGAAUCCCAGCAAGCAAACGGCCGCUGGGAGCUCGCGGCCGCCCCGCAGCUGGGGUGCCGCAGGGCACCGGGACCGGCGGCCGCGCAGAGACCGCACCGCCGGCUGUACCCAACUGCACGUCUCUGUAUACAUAUAUAUAUGUACAUCUCUUUCUGCCUAUAAAUAUAUGGAGUUAAAGUGACUUCCAGUCGAGCCAGUUCCUCCCCCCCGCUAGCAGCCUGCAACUGUGCGUGUGAUGGAGCAAGGACUCCUGGCCAAUUUGCAAGACCGGUCAGGUCUGCAGGACUUGGCCCUUUUUAAGUGCUUGAGCUCAUAUUUCUAGCCCCAGGCCUCGCAGUUCUGGGAUUUUGAUGGCAUUUCUGUAUUGGAAAUGAUGCUUUCUAGAAAAAAAAAAUAAAACACAGCAAAGAGUCUCCA
rnacentral:lncRNA from 1 species